rnacentral:rRNA from 1 species
CCUACGGGUGGCAGCAGUAGGGAAUAUUGCUCAAUGGGGGCAACCCUGAAGCCGCAACGCCGCGUGGAGGAUGAAGGUUUUCGGAUUGUAAACUCCUUUUGUUAGAGAAGAUAAUGACGGUAUCUAACGAAUAAGCAACGGCUAACUCCGUGACAGCAGCCGCGGUAAUACGGAGGGUGCAAGCGUUACUCGGAAUCACUGGGCGUAAAGAGCGCGUAGGCGGGAUAGCAAGUCAGAUGUGAAAUCCUAUGGCUUAACCAUAGAACUGCAUUUGAAACUGUUAUUCUAGAGUAUGGGGGCGGUAGGUGGAAUUCUGGGGGUAGGGGGAAAAUCCGUAGAGAUCAAGAGGAAUACUCAUUGCGAAGGCGACCUGCUAGAACAUAACUGACGCUGAUGCACGAAAGCGUGGGUAUCAAACAGGAUUAGAUACCCGAGUAGUC